GCACAGUUGAGAGACUAUAUACAUAUGAAAAAAUAAGUAUUCUUUUUUUUAUACAGUGUGAUAUGCAGUGUGGGUUAUUGCACAUUAUUUGAAUAUUGCCCAACAGCGGUGAUCAUAUUCAAUGAGUAGUAGACAUUGGGCUAUGAGAGGGCAUAUUAUGG